GUGGCUGUAGCUCAACUGGUCAGAGCGCUGGAUUGUGGUUCCAGAGGUUGGGGGUUCAAGUCCCCUCAGCCACCCCA
rnacentral:tRNA from 2 species